UUUUGUUUGGAGAGUUUGAUCCUGGCUCAGGACGAACGCUGGCGGCGUGCUUAACACAUGCAAGUCGAACGGAAAGGCCCCUUUUUUGGGGUGCUCGAGUGGCGAACGGGUGAGUAACACGUGGGUGACCUGCCCUGCACUUC
rnacentral:rRNA from 1 species